rnacentral:tRNA from 1 species
AUAGGCCUGUAGCUCAGGUGGUUAGAGCGUACGCCUGAUAAGCGUAAGGUCGGCAGUUCGAGUCUGCCCAGGCCUACCA